AAUUAUACAAUUAAAAACAAUUUUUCAAAAUUACUUUAAUAUUGAAGAACACCUCCAUGAAGUUGGCGUCGAAGAACAACAUUUUUAAAAAACUUGACAAUAUUUUAGUAUUAUUUAUAAAGGUACAAUAAGCGGUCAUUCACAAGCUACGUCAUACGUUAUGUUGUAUCUAUGUUGGAUUACUCGCCGCAUAAACAUUACGUUU